GAACUCUGGUAACAUAGAUAUGC
rnacentral:siRNA from 1 species